rnacentral:tRNA from 1 species
GGGCAUUUGGUCUAGUGGUAUGAUUCUCACUUUGGGUGCGAGAGGUCCCGAAUUCGAUUCUCGGAAUGCCCC